rnacentral:ncRNA from 2 species
ACUUGAAUCGGUGAAUCAGGUACCCAUUUAAAAUGCAUGGGUAAAAAGGGAAUCCGGUUUAAUUCCGGAACGGGCCCGCCGCUGUAUACGGGGACGAACGCCAGAGAAUGCCACUGUGGAGCGCCAUGGGAAGGCCUGGCAAGUAGAAUGAUCCAAAGUCAGAAGACCUGCCUGAUUCACAGGGAUGAG